rnacentral:rRNA from 1 species
CCCGCUGAACUUAGGCAUAUUAAUAAGCUUGCAGGAAAAGAAACUAACAAGGAUUCCCCUAGUACCGGCGAGUGAAGCGGGAUAAGCUCAAAUUUAAAAUCUGGUCCUCUUUGGCCGCCCGAGUUGUAGUCUAGAGAAGUGUUUUCCGCGCUGGACUGUGUACAAGUCUCCUGGAUAUGGAGCAUCAUAGAGGGUGAGAAUCCCGUCCUUGACACAGACUCCCAGUGCUUUGUGAUGCGCUCUCAACGAGUCGAGUUGUUUGGCAUUGCAGCUCAAAAUGGGAGGUAAAUUCCUUCUAAAGUUAAAUAUUGGCGAGAGACCGAUAGCGAGCAAGUACCGUGAGGGAUAGAUGAAAAGCGCUUUGGAAAGAGAGUUAAACAGUACGUGAAAUUGUUAAAAGCGAAACGAUUGAAGUCAGUCGCGUCUACAUGGACUCAGCCUUACUUUGGAUUGCUUCUUUUCCUUGUGGACGGGCCUGUGUGCAUGUCGAUGGCUGGAAAAGGUUCAGAGGAAUGUGACUAUUUUAGAGUGUUAUCGCCUCGGUUCAUAUACAGUGGUUGAUAUGGAGUGGUACAGCAGGCUUCGAUGGCGCUUGUGCUGGCAUAAUGGCUUUAAACGCCCCGUCGUGACACACGGAAGGGCGAAGGGGUGAAUACCUGUAGGACUAGCGGCUUAGUCCUGUAUUAAGGGGAAUUUAGGGGGGC